CCUACGGGAGGCAGCAGUGAGGAAUAUUGGUCAAUGGACGCAAGUCUGAACCAGCCAUGCCGCGUGCAGGAAGACGGCCCUAUGAGUUGUAAACUGCUUUUGUACGAGGGUAAAUCCCGAUACGUGUAUCGGGUUGCAAGUAUCGUACGAAUAAGGAUCGGCUAACUCCGUGCCAGCAGCCGCGGUAAUACGGAGGAUUCAAGCGUUAUCCGGAUUUAUUGGGUUUAAAGGGUGCGUAGGCGGUUCGAUAAGUUAGAUGUGAAAUCCCGGGGCUCAACCCCGGCAGUGCCUUUGAUACUGGCGGGCUAGAGUUUAGUUGCGGUAGGCGGAAUGUAUGGUGUAGCGGUGAAAUGCAUAGAGAUCAUACAGAACACCGAUUGCGAAGGCAGCUUACUAAACUACGACUGACGUUGAUGCACGAAAGCGUGGGGAGCAAACAGGAUUAGAUACCCCGGUAGUC
rnacentral:rRNA from 1 species